UGGGGAAUUUUGGACAAUGGGCGCAAGCCUGAUCCAGCCAUGCCGCGUGCGGGAAGAAGGCCUUUGGGUUGUAAACCGCUUUUGUCAGGGAAGAAAUCUUCUGAGUUAAUACCUCGGGAGGAUGACGGUACCUGAAGAAUAAGCACCGGCUAACUACGUGCCAGCAGCCGCGGUAAUACGUAGGGUGCAAGCGUUAAUCGGAAUUACUGGGCGUAAAGCGUGCGCAGGCGGUUUUGUAAGACAGAGGUGAAAUCCCCGGGCUCAACCUGGGAACUGCCUUUGUGACUGCAAGGCUUGAGUGCGGCAGAGGGGGAUGGAAUUCCGCGUGUAGCAGUGAAAUGCGUAGAUAUGCGGAGGAACACCGAUGGCGAAGGCAAUCCCCUGGGCCUGCACUGACGCUCAUGCACGAAAGCGUGGGGAGCAAACAGGAUUAGAUACCCUGGUAGUCCACGCCCUAAACGAUGUCAACUGGUUGUUGGGGAAGGUUCCUUCUCAGUAACGUAGCUAACGCGUGAAGUUGACCGCCUGGGGAGUACGGCCGCAAGGUUGAAACUUAAAUGAAUUGACGGGGUCAUAGCUGUUU
rnacentral:rRNA from 1 species